GUGGUGACGUACGAACAAAUAUAAAAUAUAGGCAGGCGUCUCUCAAAUUCUGGAUGAUUGAUAACGCUGCCGGGCGGAGGUCAACAUUUUCUGAUCACGGACGAUUUUGUAACACAAAAAAUGAAAGAAUGUGACCUUGAAAGAUUCAGUCAGAAAUUUGAAGAUAAAGAAGUAGACCAAGUUGGACUGUUCCUUUUCAAUGACACAAGCGCUAAAGAGGUCAUCGCCCAGUGGGACCAAGGCUGAAGUUUUUAUCAAAACUGAAAGAGCUUCAGAUGCAGAGAAAUGUAACCUGUCCUUUUUGGUUCUUCCCUCCUAUUUCCACCUGGCCAAAUCAGAGGAAGUAAGUCUUCCAAAAGCAGAUAUGAUUGUGCAACUGUUCAGGAAGCAAGUGCUUCAUUCAUACAACGAAGAGAAAUUGGAACAAACAUCCCACAAUUCCUGGAGGAAAACAGGCAUGCGCAAUCAUUUGUCCUAGCCCUAGGCAAUAUGAUGCUGGUUCCAGAACAAGUGUUUGUCAUCGUGGAACAAAGUACCAUCCCUUGAUCUGAUCUCCUUCAGGGAGUAGACAGAUGCUUCAAACUCAUCUACGUUUUUGAGCAGGACAUUUUACUUUCCGCGGUCUGUGAAACUUCUUCUUUCUAAUGGCAUAGGCAAAAACCCAAGUUUGCAAUAAAGUAAACCUAUUUUCAGAGAAUUAAGAGCACUGAAAGUGUAUCCAUAAGCUAUAGACAUCGUCUGCUUGGGUUGGUAUACUUCCUUCUAUGGCAUCAUUAGAACAUUGCCGUAUUUCUUCCGAUGUUCUGGUACUUAAUAAAAAUUUCGAUUUCAUUUAAAUUGUUUUAGCACCUGUUAUGACAUUUACCAAAAUCUUCUUUAGGCUAUCUACAAGAUAUUAGGGUAUUUUUAGACAUGAAUUAUCCUUAGCUUUAAUUUUCUUUCAUUGUCUACUUUAACAUUUGAAUUUGGCAUCACCAGAACGAGAGUGCUGCUCUUUAUACAGUGCGUAUAAAAAAAACGGACACAUUUGAAAAGUCUAAAAUCUUUGUUUCAAAUUGUGAUGUCUAUGUUUUGGUGUUAAUAGGUGCUCUGAAAUCUUAUCUUUCAAAUGCCAUUUAAAAAAUUAGUUUUGUUCAUGCUUGACUGAACACGGAAUGUUUUUGUCUGGGUUUUAAAAAGGAGGCUUGCGCAAAAAUGGCAUAAAAUGAAAAUAUGAUGAUCGGACUUCUUGCUAAUCAGCAGACCUCCUCUCAACCUUUUCAUUAUCUCUGCCAUAAUUUUCUAAUAAUGCGGUCAAAAUUCAUUUUCAAAUCUUUACUUGCUUGAAUUAAAAAAAAAAAUUGAUAUGUUCUCUUUUAGCUUUGAAUAUUCCUUCUUUAAGCAAAAACAUUUUUUUUUUCAAACGAAGUAUGGGAAAGCGUGUUUUUUUUCUUCAAAUCCUUUCAUUGUGUGCUACAAACGUUAUGGUGCCUUUAAACAGUGCCAUACAGAUGGGCGGGGGCUCGGGGAUGUCCCCCCCC